CAUUGCAUGGCAGGACAUGUUAGGAGGUGGUGGGGGUGGUGACAGGAAGGAAUGCACCAGAAACAUGUGGGUGACAGGUCUGUGCCUACUUGCUAGCGGGUGUCUCCACGUGUCAGAAUUCUGUCUGCAGCCUGGCAAAAGUAAGUUGUGGAAAGAUGCGAUACCUGUCCCCUCCCUCUCGUUCUUGGAACUGACGUCUCCUGGAUGGAUCCUAGCAAAUGGUAAUAAUCAGAUGGGUCGGGUCCGUGUACAACAUCAACCUGCUGUUUUCUGUUUGUUUGACUGUUUUCUUUAUGCUUGUGAGUUCUCUGUCUAGGCCAUACCUUGGACACUUGGGGACUCACUGCCGGGGGAAAUGAAGAGGUGAAAACGCUCUGAGUCCUCCUUUGCUAUCAGGUAAUUUGCAGAUUGCAAUCUCAUCUUUUCAAAGCAAUUGGACACGUCUUCAUACCAAAUUUCACUCAAGGGAACCCGUGUGCACAUCUGCACUGCACUCUGGGCAGGGAACCUGCGUGCACAUCUGCAGUGCACUCUGGGCAGGGAACCUGCGUGCUCGUCUGCAGUGCACUCUGGUCAGGGAACCUGCGUGCACAUCUGCAGUGCACUCUGGGCAGGGAACCUGCGUGCUCGUCUGCAGUGCACUCUGGGCAGGGAACCUGUGUGCACGUCUGCAAUGCACUCUGGGCUUUAUGUCUAAAGUCAAUCAGCAGGGUUUGUUGCAAGCAGAAUGCAGAAGCCAUGUAAGGCCACAGAACAGUUACAGACGACGAGGAACAGCGAGCGUCCCUCUCCCAUUCAAUGGGAGCCACCUGCGCCAGCCCACGCCACAGACCACAGCGAGGAUGCGCGCCUAAGAACGGUGGUGGUUAGAGCUAAGGUCCUGAUCCAGCUUUGCCUUCUGCCAUGAGUGAAAGCUCCCUAAAGCCUCCCCAGAAGCAGAUGCCACCACGCCUCCUGCAUAGCCUGUGGAGGAAACCUCUUCUUUUCCUUAUAAACUAAAUCUCUUUUCUUUAUAAUUACCCAGUCUCGGGUAUUUCUUCAUAGCAAGGCGAAAAUGGACUAAUACACCAGGUAUACGCCAACAGUUGAAUAAAUAAUCAUUUAAUUUAAUCCAAUACAAAAUUAUUUAACAGUUACACUUAUACAAUUAUAUAUAUUUCCCCAAAAGUUUAUUUCUCAAAGAUUAAGGUGUAUCCUUACUUUGUAGUCAUAACUGAGUGUCUGCUUGUUAAUGGUA